GACGAACGCUGGCGGCGUGCUUAACACAUGCAAGUCGAGCGAGCGGCGGACGGGUGAGUAAUGUAUGGGGACUGCCCGAUAGAGCGGGGUAACUCCUGGAAACGGUGGCUAAUACCGCGUACUGUCUUGUAACCCAUAUGGGAUUAGCUAUUAGGUAAGGUAAUGGCUUACCUAGGCGACGAUCCCUAGCUGGUGUGAGAGGAUGAGCAGCCACACGGGGACUGAGACAUGGCCCAGACUCCUACGGAGGCAGCAGUGGGGAAUAUUGGACAAUGGGCGAAAGCCUGAUGCAGCCAUGCCGCGUGUAUGAAGAAGGCCCUAGGGUUGUAAAGUACUUUCAGUCGGGAGGCGUUACCGACAGAAGAAGCACCGGCUAACUCCGUGCCAGCAGCCGCGGUAAUUC
rnacentral:rRNA from 1 species